rnacentral:lncRNA from 1 species
UUCAAAGAGAAAAUGAGAGAGAUGAUGAUUCUGAGGCCACCCUAUCCCAGCCAUAUUAUUCACAUAUCGAGUCUCAACAGCAACAGUGUAGGGAUGAGCACGACAGUGCAGGUGAGCAUGAAGGAUGGACAAUCUUCGGGGAUUUUAGAUUGGGAACACAACAAAACACUAACACUCAGGGAUUUGGAAAUAGUCAGACGCCUACUAAUAUCGAUGAUUCGUUUUUAGAUCGAAUCAAUGAAUUGUUAAACGAAUUCAAUCAAUGGCACCAGCGUGACCAAGAAGAACAAUAACAUCGUCUAUCA